rnacentral:lncRNA from 10 species
CACUAGUUUUCAGACUUAGAAGGCAGUCACCUAGUAGUGCUGAGUAGGCUUCUGAGAUGAGCAAGAAGAACACUUAGGAAAGGACAGGGCUGAGGCACAGAACACUGGCCUCUUCUAUGCUUUGCCUCCUCUUAGCAACCUCCACUAUUCUGCCUUCAAGAUGUGUUUUAAUGCAUAGGAGAGCUGAACCAUGCAACUCCACAUUGCUACACCUGCUGGGUGAUUUACUGAGUGGGUAGAUCCACAAGAUCAAGUAUCCACUAGCUGGGGAAGGAGAGAAGCCUUGAUCUGAGACGAAUGAUCCUUGAAAACACAGAGAAAGCUUAUUAAAGAGCCUGUAAGACAUUAAGGUAGGGGCAUUACUGAAUAAUGGCAUUUGAGAUGCUUCCUUUUUUUUUUUUUUUUUUCUAUAUAGCAGGGAUUCUCAACCAGAGAGGAUUUUGCUCACCUCUUCCUCAGGGCUAUUUGGAAAAGUCUGGACAUAUUUUUUAGCUGUCACAACUGGAGAGCAUGAAUUUCUGAUAAUCAUUGAGAGAACAAAAUGACUUCCAUUAUCCAGUUAACAUACAGUUCUGUAGCAGAAUUAAUCCAUGUCUUUGCAUGCUAAGUCAUAGAAAACUGAAUAGCUGUAUCCUAAAACCAUAGCUUCACUCUUGAGUGUCUUUGUUCCCUGUGAGCCUCCUCUGCUGAAUAUCCCACUGUCAUUUCUUUGCUUUUCCACUCCCGGUCCACAAGUAGAAAUGCUGCCCAUUAGGGCGAUUGUGAGGGCGCAGGGCUCUUACGUGUGUUUGGUGCCUAGCACAGAGCUGUGCACAAAGCACAAAGGAGGCUAUCAGUUAAGCUGAGCUUUCUUUUCCCCUUCCAAUUCAAAUGAACCUGAUACAAAAUCCAAAGGAACUGGUACUGGUGGUGGGGAAACAAACCCAGAAUAGAGGAAUAGUAGUUUAUGGAACCAGACUCUGUUUAUAAACCAGCCCUUCUUAAACUGGGACCCGUGGUUCUUAGCUUUCAUCAAGCUUUCUUAGAGGUUGAUGCCCCAACAAAAGCUGAAUCAGUGAUGUAAAUUGCAAAAGGAGUUGGAGGGAAAGCACAUUUGAAUAAAUCAAGUCAAAUGCUCCACAAGAUUGUUAAUAUUUAACUAAGAGAGUAGCCUAACAUUUUUACUUAAUUGCUCUCUCCUCUUUUUUCCACAUAUUCCACCCACUCCUCCUACCAGCCAAUCUUAUAAAAAAAAAAAUCUGUAAGCCAACAUUCUCCUGCACUCCUUCAGAGCUGCUCAUUGCAUAAUCACCUCUAGAGUUAUCUGCUUGUCAUUUCCAUCUCUCAGAAGCACACACCAUCCACACCAGAAGCCUCAAGAAAAUGCAUGCAUUGGGCACUAUGGAUUUAUAUUUGUUGUUUAGAAAUAAUUGCAAACCUACCAUUUGUAGAUUAAGGAAUAUGGCAUAUGACUGUUAAAAGCCGUGCAUUAUAAAGUCUUAUCUCAAUCCUAUCCCAUCAUUCAAAGCCCAGCUUAAGGCUUCCUAAGACCUUCUCCAGCAGUUACUUCUCUUCCUUCUCUGACAGGUGUGCCACCUAAUGUUUUGCUCAGGCAGCUGAACAAUGGCAUCAAUGCUGUAAUUGGUAAUUCACAAUUCUUUCAUACAGGGCAAGGGCUGGUGCGUAUUAAAUCCUCAUCAGCUGAUUUUUGUUAGAAAGUAUCUUCUCAAAAUGAGGACAUCCAUUGUCUCUAAAUGUCGUAAUUUAAGCAAAUUAAUUUAUAAACUUAAAACAACAAAAAGGACAUUAUGUGGGAGUAUGAAUUAAACUUUACAGAUACUAGUAUUUAUUUGGCUUUAAUAUGGUAAGACUGCUUUUAUCUACCUCAGUGUUUUUUAAUGGCUUAAAUGUCUUUUAUCUAUGUAUAUUUCCUCCUAAGACUAAAUAAUAUGUUUAUCUUAUGUAAUGGUAUAUAUAAAAUCAAAUUACAUUAAAAAGAUUUUCAUUAUGAGGCAAAGUAUUUACACAGUAAUGCCAAGUAAAAGAGGCAAAAUACAUAAUUAUAUACGGUAUGGCUUCCACUAUUAAAAAUAUUCAAAAACAACUGGAAGGAGAUACACAAAAAUAUUAACAUAUGAUAUUUAUUUUUGGUGGUGGAAAGACAGGUGAUUGUUAAGUUACUUUUAUAUACUUUCCUGCAUGUGUACAUUUUAUACAAUGUGCAUAAUUUUACUAUAUAAUCAAGAAAAUGCCACUUUUUAAAAAGUCCUUUUGCCUUAAUACAUAAGGUGGCCUUCAAGUGAGGUGACACUGGUCAAGCUGUCUAGCUAAUAUGUCCAAGUUUCAUCAGUUAGUGAGUACUAGAGCUGAAAUCUGAAAACAGAAACUGUCAUUCCUUAGAAAUGAUCCCUUCCUGCUAGAAAAUGAGUUAAUAAAAAAGCCAUCUUUUCUAUUUAGAAUCGGGGUAAAGGUACAAUCACACAUCAAGAGUCAUUCAGCUUCAGAUGUGCAUGCAAUUUCAUUUUAAAGGCAGCAAAGAAAACAACUGGCAUGUGCUGCUUCAGGCAACAUGUGCUGUCUAGAUAGUUCUACAGGCAUUAUGCAAGUCACUCAUAGGAGCAAUUAAAUGGUUCAAAAUGCAUCCUCUCUAUCUUCUGAAAGAAAGCUCUUUUAGGAAAUUGAUGUUGGACCCCUUUCUGAAUUACAAGUGAGUGGAUUAUGCAUCUCUCCAUAAGAGAGAGCAUCAGACCAAGGGCAUGCCUCUCCAGGCAAAUGAUUUAUUUAUAUAUGUGUAAGACCCUUUUAGUUAGUGACCCUCCUGAUUCUCUGACUUUCUGGUGGAAAUUAAAUGAGCUGUUUUCUGAGGCUGUGGAUGGCGGUUGAUGGAUAAAGCACAGGAGUAGAAGGGCACUGGACAAAAACGUUUAAACACAAAUGGAAAAAUAUUCCAUACUCACGGAUUAGAAGAAUAUCAUUAAAAUGGUCAUAUUGCCCACAACAAUCUACAGACUCAAUGCUAUUUCUAUCAAAUUACCAAAGCCAUUUUUUACAGAAUUAAAAAAAAACUAUUUUAAAAUCUAUUUGGAAUCAAAAAAGGGCCCAAAUAGCCAAAGCAAUACUAAGCAAAAAGAGUAAAUUUGGAUGAAUCACAUUACCUGACCUCACACUAUACUACAAGCCCACAGUAACCUAAACAGCAUGGUACUGCUACAAACACAGACACAUAAUCCAGUAGAACAGAAUAGAGGACCCAGAAAUAAAGCCACACACCUACAAGCAUCUGAUCUUCAACAAAGUUGACAAAAAUAAGCAAUGGGGAAAGGACUCCUUGUACAAUAAGUGGUGCUGAGAUAGCUGGCUAACCAUAUGCAGAAGAACCAAACUGGACCCCUACAUUUUACAUAUAUAAAAAUAAACUCGAGAUGUAUUAAAGACUUAACUGUAAGUCCUAAAAUUAUUAAAAUCAUAGAAGAAAACCUAGGAAAUACCAUUCUGAACAUCAGCCUUGGGAAAUAAUUUAUGACUAAGUCCUCAAAAGCACUUGCUACAAGAAAAAAAAAUUGGUAAUGGGACCUAAUUAAACUAAAGAGCUUCUGCAUAGCAAAGAAAACUAUCAACAAACAACCUACAGAAUAAGAUAAGGUAUUUGUGAACUACUCAUUUGACAAAGGUCUAACGUCCAGAAUCUAUAAGGAACUUAAGCAAUUGAGCAAGCAAAAAACAAAUAACCCCCUUGAAAAGUGGGCAAAGGACAUGAACAGACACUUCUCAAAAGAAAACAUACAAGUGGCCAACAAACAGCAGAGGCUGUGCUUUAUUUACUACCAAAUCUCACAUGUUUGCCUUGUUUCCAACACAGAGUAGAAGCUCAAUAAAUUUUUAUUGAACGAACAAAUGAAUGAAUGAAAUAUGUGGAACUUUUCAACGACAGACAGUGGCCAUAUAUCUCUCUUAUCUCUGCACACAGCACUUACUAAAUGUAUAUUAAUGAUACCAUAGAAACUUCGAAAUAAUAAGGUAAAAGAUAGUUGCAACUGCACUAAAUCUACAUAGGCCCUGAAAUCUAUUGGUAGAUGCUGAAAGUAAGCACUUGUAAUAUAUCACCUGAGAAACUCAUUUCCCCAAUCCUGUCAAACUCAUUGUUUUCUGGGCCAAACCACCAGUCUUUGAAAGGUGAUGUGAAGAUCUAAAAACACAGUAAAAAUGUAACAGAAGCCACACAUGUAACUUUAAAUUUUUAUAGCUCCCUUAAUAAAAUAAAAACAGGUGAAAUUUUCAUAAUAUGUUUAACUCAAUAUAGCCACAACAUUAUCAUUUAAAAACAUAAUCAGUACACAUGCUCGCUCACUUGGGCAGCACAUAUACUAAAAUUGGAAAGAUUACAAAGAAGAUUAACAUAGCCCCUAGGCAAGGAUGACAUAAAUUCGUGAAGCGGUUCAUAUAAAAAUUUCUUUUACCUAUUCAUGCGAUAUUUUACUUUUUUAAUAUAUAAUCUCUUCUAAAUCUGUGUGUUUCACAUGUACGGUGCAUCUUGGUAUGGGUUUAUAAAUUUCCACACCUCUAAUUCAAUCCUGGGAAGAAGUUACUCUAUGAGAGAACCUGGAUUAUAGUGGUUCUCAAACUUACAAUUCCUUAAAAACUGUCAAGCCAUAUUCUGAAAAUAUAACACAAAUUUGUUGCUGCAAGACCAUGUUUCAAAUGAAGCUAGGGUAUGCUUUAUGCUCCGCCAUCCUUACGAAUUACCUCCAUGAAACUUAAUUGUUAAGCACAGGGAGUACCCACUCUUUUCCUCUUUCAGCUGUUUUUAUUACGUUAAAGAUCAAAGCAAUUAGUCAAUGAAAUGAAUCACUAAACAAACUAUAACAUUUUAAAAGUUAACUCCAUUUUGACACAAACUUCACAGGACAGGUUUUGCGGGACUUCCGUCUUCUUUUUGGUCCCUCUCUUAACAGAGCUAGUCAAUUCUUUUGAAAUUGUUCUGUCCUUUUUACAUGUAUAUAGUUUUGUAAAACAAAUUAAAUGUCAACUUCUUAGUAUUCUGAGAGACUGCUGUUCUUAAAAUAAAUGAAGAUAAAAUAUGUAGGUAAAUAUUCACUAACAAGGUAAGUUCAAGAUUAAUCAUGGCAAUACAGAUUAUAAUAGCCCUGUACUGGAAACAACCAAAAUGCCCAUCAGCAGUAGAAUGGGUGAAAUAUUGUGUGAUAGUCAAUGGAAUUCUACACAUAAUGAACAUCAUCUACUGCUACAUAAAAAAAAAAACUCACAAAUUAGUGAGUGAAGAGGCCAGUCCCCUAGACAUCACACAAUGAUUUCAUUUAUAUAAAGUUCAAAACUAGGAAAAAUUAAUCUAUGGUCCGAGAAAUCAGGAUAAUGGUGACCAGGGGUGGGGGAGAAGUGACUGGCAGGGGGCAGGAUGGGUCUCCUGGGGGACAGAUAACAUUCUGUUCCUUGAUCUGGGUGCAGAUUACAUGGGUGUGUGCAUGUAGGAUUUAUAGAAUUCUCUGACAUUCAUUAUGCUUCAAUACCACUUCCAUAAAAAUAAUCAGACACAUGAGAAAGGCAGAAGCUUGCUAUCAUACACUCCUGCCCCAUGUGUUUCUGUUAAAAAUUGGUCAUAUUGUGCUGCUUCCUGCUUCUACCUUUUUGAGUUUCUAACUAAAUCAAGGCAAAACAACUGAUAGGGCUUUUAAGUAAAAGGCAUGUUUUUCUCUGUGUGUGUGUCUUUCCUUCUCUCUCACUCUCCCUUCUCUUUCCCAUGCCUUCCUGCACUCCCUAGGUCCAGGUCUUUCUCUUCUUCAAGCAAAUUUACUUAAAAGAAGGAAAGAUGAGUAAUAACUAUACUUUUCUGAUUGGAUUAGAACAGCUUGGGGAUAUAUCUGAAAUCUUCAAAUUGUUCUUUUUAUGAUGAUAUGAAGAACUUGAAUGGUUAAAAUAUUUAUUGUUGAUUUCUCAUUUCAUUCUCCAAUUUGUGCUGUAAGAGAGAUCAAAUUCCUGUAGAGUAUGGCUGUGGGGGAUGCAUAUAUUUUAGUAAAGCUUUAAAUUAACAGUUUCAUGAUACUCUGACCUGCUCUUGCUAUGAAUACUUAGCAUAUUUAUAAGAAAUAUUGUUAUGGCCAAAAGGAAGACAGAAUGUGUUAUGCAUACCAAAGCCUAUAUGUAAUGGGAAAAAAUCCUUUCCCAUUUUAACUGUUUCUGAACUGGUGUCUCUUUAGGAAAAGGUUUAGCUAACUGAAGGCUUUGGAGGCAGUCCCCAAGGAAUUGACUACUUGUGGGCUUAGAGGUUGUCUCUCACUCACCACCCCCACUGAUCCUCAAAUAAAUUUGUUUACAAAGGUGGGUAUGUUAUUAUUCUCCCCCACCCAGGAAAGUAACUUGUGUUAAAACAACUUCAUUUGCAAAUAUCAUAGAGAAAUUACAGGAGAUGACUUAACAACAACAAAAAAAUCAAUGUGCAGCUUAGGACAGCCAUUUAGAGAAAACACAUUACUCCAUGGUGAGAAAAAGGAAGAAAAUUUCCCCUUGAUGGUAACUUUAAAUAUCUAUGUAUAUAUUUAAAGCAGCCAUGGCUAAAUGAAGCCUUCCCAGCACUACUAGAUAAACAUGACCUCACUACCUUUGCAGGAACCUACCUUAGUGCAGAACUGUAAGAAGUUGUGUAUUCAGAAAGCCUCACAUUUUUCACAGGAGAGCUUUAAAAAUGCAAUUUCUCUUAGAGCAAACCAAACAGAGCUGACAUGUAGUCAUCACUCUUUUCACAUUUCAGUAUCUUGUGCUAAUCCCCCUAGUUUUCAAAUCUCUUUAGUCCACAGUGACAAAGAUCUACUAGUGAUCCAGAAGCUACGCUGAAGCCCAGGUUUUCCUCCUCCUCCUCAUCAAAAUGUUCUAACCAGAGUUGUGAAUGAAGUGAAGGAUCUAGUUAAAAUUUUUUUUGGCCUUUCUCCACCUCAACCUAGGAGGAAUCAGAUAAAAUAGUCCAAGGCCAGGAAGUAAGAGCAAAGGCAUAUGAAGUCCCUAGAGCAGAGGUUACCUGGAGUCUCUAAGGAUUUGAACACCUUACAUCACUAGGAUUUAAAAUAUCUCCUCUCUAUUACAUGAAGAAUCAAAAGUUGACUGAAGAGCCUUUGUAAACAUCACGAUAACAGAAUAUUUGAUAGACACUGCACCAUUUGUUUGAGUUUACUCUCUGGCUAACUUCAGAACCUCAUAUCUUGAAAGGUCAGAUACACAGUAUUGAGAAAGGUAUAUUUUUGCUGAAUGAUGGUGAGCAUCGCAAAUCAAUUUCAGCACACUUUCCUGAGGAAGAGGGAAGGGUCUCUGCAUGAUUUUUCAGGUUGUCACACCAUUCAACACUGUCAUAUGAGAUACAAUCUACAUGCCAUCUUUGUAUUGCCUUAAUUAAGGCAGCAGGGCUCCCUGGAAAAGGAAAAAAUCUACUGCACAGUUUGGAUGUUUAAGUUUGUAGAAACUUUUUGAUUCUUUAAUUCUCUGAUUUUUUAUUCCUUUAAUCCCUUAGAACCAUGAGCUAUGAGUCAAAACAACUUCCAAAUCUGGAGUUUCCUUUAAAGAGAAAACGUCCAUGGUUUACUCAGUAAUUGGAUAAAAUUAUUUGUUUAAUCUCUUCUGUCUUUAAGCAGGUAGCUUAUUCGGUGUACUGUGUAAAUCAGUAUGAAAAUUCAAGAAAUUACCUAGUAGAAAGAAGCCAACAUUUUGGGUCAGGGAGGUUGUCUGCUAGAUAAAUUGGUACAAUGUGAACAUUAACACAAGGUUCAAGUAGUUUCCAAAUCAAUUUUAUUUAGAAAAGAAUGCAGAUUGCAUGUGGCCUUCCAAGUUCAAAUGUCUAUAUUACCACAUUUCCCUUUGAGGGAAGAAAAACAGGAUGUGGUUUAGGAUGCUGCUACAAAUCAACUCAAGGGCCCUUUAAUAAUUAUAGUAAUACCUGUGUGGAGCCCACAUUUGGUUUAAGUGACUUUCUCCAAUUCUAGGAAUUUUCUAGCUUUAGGUUGAUGUUAAAAUUCAGCGCCAAGUCCAGAGUGAGACAGAAACCACCUACUGAGAAUUGUUUUUUUAAUGCUUCCUUAACAAUUUAUAAUAAUCACCAAGCAAGUCUUUGGAUGGGGAAAUUUCAAGUUAUGGCUGCCAGAUACAGUUGAAGUCUUAGCAAACUGACAUCAGACCCAUUAAUCCAUUAGUCCUUAAACUUAUCUGUAUGUCAGAGUCCUUCAGGGACCCACACUACAUCUACUGUAUCAAAAUCUCAGGGGAGGCAAAAUCAGGGACAGCGUUCCUACAACUCAAUAGCAAAAAGUCCAAUCACCGAAUUUGUAAAAUAGACAAAAGACUUGACCAGACACCUCAGAAAGGCAGGUGCACGAGUGGCUAAUAAGCACAUGAAAAAGUGCUCCACAUCAAUAGGUAUCAGGAAAAUGCAAAUGAAACUACCAUAAGAUACCACUCCACACCUGUUUGAACAGCUAAAAUUAAAAAGACAGACCAGUGUUGGAAAGGAUGUGAAGCAACCGUAACUCUCAUGCAUUGCUGGGAGAUGUGUAAAUAGCACAACCACUUUACUUUGCAUAACGGUUUGGCAGAUGAGAUAAACAUAUACCUACAAGAUGGCAACUUCUCUGCUAGCUAUUUACCUGAGACAUGGAAACAUAUGUGCACAGAAAAACGUAUAUGAGAAUGAGCAUAGCAAUUUUAUUCCUAAUAGCUAAAAACUGGAGACAGCCAAAAUGUCCAUCAAAAGGAGAAUAGAUACGUAAAUUGUGUUAUAGCCAAACAAUGUAAAAGUACCCAGCAGUUAAAACGGACAAUCUACUGAUACACACAACAUAGUUGAACUUCAGUAGUAUUAUUCUGAGUGGGAAAAAAACCCAAACACAAAAGAUCAUACAUUGUAUGUUUCCACUUUUAUGAUAAUAGGCAAAACUAAUGUUUAGUAAGAGAUAAGAACAGUUACUGGCUCCAGGGGAUGGUGGUGGAGGUGGGUGGGCAGGGAUUGACUGUAGGGGGCAUGAGGGAACUUUCUAGAGUGAUGAAAAUGGUCAAUAUUUUAAAAGAAGUGUGGGUUAUGUGUGUAUUUGUCAAAACUCAGUGAACUGUACACUUAAGAUCUGUUUGUUUGAAUGGAUGUAAAUUAUUCUUCAAUAAAGUAAAAUUAAAUGAAAAAAUGUCCCCAAGCAUAGUUACAUAUUUACAAUGUGAAUCUAUGUUUGUAAACCACUACAUCAAGGAAUAUUAAAAAAACACUGCAAAAUGAUUUUUAUUUUUUGCUACAAUCCCAAGGUUUUAGUGAUGAUGCUCACAACAUGUUGGAAGACCAAAUUUUGGGGUAAGGUUUAAAGCAAUGACAAUCUGUGUGCGUGUGUGUGUGUGUGUGUGUGUGUGUGUGUGUGUGUGUAUUACAGUAAAGGGUGGAUUCAGCAGGUCUAUGAUGUCCAAAUUCUACACAUUCCAAAGAAAGGCAUGGCCCCCCCUUCAUCCGCUUAUGAGAGAUAACUUCUAAACUCUUGGAAUAUCCUGCCUGAUAACAGUGUCUUUGUAUACCUGGGGCAUUGGGCCAUGGCAGAUGGUUUAUGCUAAUGAUGUGAUUAACGAUGGGGUUCUUGGGUUGGAGACUAUGUAACUAAGGUCAGUCAUAUGGGCACUCCAUCCCUACGUAACCAAUUCCUAAUUUUAAAAAUCCUGGACAUCAAGUCUUGAGUGAGCUUCCCUGGUUGGCAGCAUUCUGUACACGUUGUCAUACAUUGUUCCUGGGAACAAUAAGUACUGUCCUGUGAUCUCACUUGGAGAGGAAAACUGGAAGCUUGUGCCUGGUCUCCCAUGAACUCUGCCCUGUGCACUUUUUCCUUUGCUGAUUUUAAUCUGUAUCUCUUCUGAAAUAAACUGUAACCAUGAGUAUAACAGCUUUUCUGAUAUCUUUGAGUCUUUCUAGUGCAUCAUUGAACUGAGGAUAGUUGGGGACCUCACACAUAUGCAUGUGUGCACACACACACACACAUGCACACACGAUACAAAUAAAUUGAAAUUAAAGAAGCCAUAAAAAGAUGCAAUGCAAAUGGGAGCAGUGAGUUUUCAUAAAAGCCCAAUGAUCCUGAACAAGCCAUAAUUUCAACCCCAGGGGUAUAAUCCUGUGUUGGGUUAGGGGAAUGGUCUAGAAUUUGGUACACUGGGCUCAAUCUGAAAAUGUACAGGUGUAUACCAUACAAGGUGCCGAGAUGAUCACAGCAGGAUAGCUACUGUGAAUUUUCAGUAAGGGAGAUAGCACUUUUCUGAAAUAUUCCACAAAUAGAGAAACAGACAUUCACAACACCCUCCUUGAUCUGGAAUUGCCUACCCCUCCAGAUUCAUGGUACAUGACUCUCCCUCUCAUUUUCAAUAUUAUAUCCAAUACUCUGGGGUUUUCUCCCUCAGUCCUAUAUUUUAUCCUUCAGAGCCUACUGUAUGAAGUGGAAUUAUUAUUUCUUAGGCUGGUUAUGUGUUUUUAACCUCUCUUACUGAAAUAUGAGCUCGGUAAGGACAAGGAAGAAGUUGCAGGUCCUUAUUUUGUCUCUAGCACCUAGUUUAGGCCUGGCAUUAAUAACAAUACUAUCUGAAGGGUGAAAGCCUGAACAGUUGAGUUCCUUGAAUGCAGCUGGCACUUUUCAGCUUCAAGGCAUUUGCAUAUACCAUUCCCUUUGUUUGGACCAAUCUUCCCUUUCUCCUCUUUACUAG